CUAGAAUAGUCGAAUAUGCCUCAUAUAAAUGUAAGAAUAGGGCUUACAAGUAUCUACCAGGUAGCCGUAAACUACCUGACUAUGAGGGAAGUGUACCUAGGG
rnacentral:ncRNA from 2 species